rnacentral:misc_RNA from 1 species
UCCCCGUUACCGGGGCAGUCUGGCCAGAGAAAUACAACUGACUAAAAGGGUUGCGCUCGUUGAAGGACUUAACCUAACGUCUCACGACACGAGCUGACGACGGCCAUGCAACACCUGUCACUUGGCUCAAUAAAGCACUCUCUGCUUUCGCAGAAAUUCCAAGGAUGUCAAACCUGGGUAAGGUUCUUCGUUUACCAUCGAAUUAAACAACACGCUCCACCGCUUGUGCGGGUCCCCGUCAAUUCCUUUAUGUUUUAAGCUUGCGCUCGUACUCCACAGGCGGGAUGCUUAACGCGUUAGCUUCGCAACUUCGAGGGUCGAUACUCGAAACUGCUAGCAUCCAUCGUUUACAGCGUGGACUAC